AGAGACAGCAGUAGCCAGGUAAUACGGAGGGAGCUAGCGUUGUUCGGAAUUACUGGGCGUAAAGCGCGCGUAGGCGGUUACUCAAGUCAGAGGUGAAAGCCCGGGGCUCAACCCCGGAACUGCCUUUGAAACUAGGUGACUAGAAUCUUGGAGAGGUCAGUGGAAUUCCGAGUGUAGGGGUGAAAUUCGUAGAUAUUCGGAAGAACACCAGUGGCGAAGGCGACUGACUGGACAAGUAUUGACGCUGAGGUGCGAAAGCGUGGGGAGCAAACAGGAUUAGAGACCCCUGUAGUCCCUGUCUCUUAUACA
rnacentral:rRNA from 1 species